GAUGAAGAACGCAGUGAAAUGCGAUAAGUAGUGUGAAUUGCAGAAUUCAGUGAAUCAUCGAAUCUUUGAACGCACAUUGCGCCUCCUGGUAUUCCGGGAGGCAUGCCUGUUCGAGCGUCAUCAAAAACCUCAACCCAUGAUUUAUUGUGAGUUGGUUCUGCAUUGGACUCCUUGUGGGUCCUUUGCGAAAUCCAAUGGCGAAGAGCCACGCAACCAAAGCGUAGUAUAACUAUUUCGUUAUGGAAGCGUGGGUGCCUCUGCCGUAACCCCCAAUUUCUUAGUUUUUGACCUCGGAUCAGGUAGGGAUACCCGCUGAACUUAAGCAUAUCAAUAAGCGGAGGA
rnacentral:misc_RNA from 1 species